rnacentral:ncRNA from 1 species
UGACACAACUCCGAGCGCGAUUUACUAAGUCUUUAUUGUGUAUAGGGAUAAGUGGAUCUCGCCAGUAACCUUUGUGGUUGCCAGGGUUUAUUUAGAAAUAAAUAGACCUCCCGUAUUUGGAAAGGUGUUUCGUGAUC